rnacentral:rRNA from 1 species
UGGGGAAUAUUGGACAAUGGGCGCAAGCCUGAUCCAGCCACGCCGCGUGAGUGAUGAAGGCCUUCGGGUCGUAAAGCUCUGUGGGGAGGGACGAACCGCUGCCGGUUAAUACCCGGCAGCAUGACGGUACCUCCUUAGCAAGCACCGGCUAACUUCGUGCCAGCAGCCGCGGUAAUACGAAGGGUGCAAACGUUGCUCGGAAUUAUUGGGCGUAAAGCGCACGUAGGCGGCUUAGCAAGUUGGAUGUGAA